GACGUAGGGCGCAAGCGUUGUCCGGAUUUAUUGGGCGUAAAGAGCUUGUAGGCGGUUUGUCGCGUCUGCCGUGAAAAUCCGAGGCUCAACCUCGGACUUGCGGUGGGUACGGGCAGACUAGAGUGUGGUAGGGGAGACUGGAAUUCCUGGUGUAGCGGUGAAAUGCGCAGAUAUCAGGAGGAACACCGAUGGCGAAGGCAGGUCUCUGGGCCACUACUGACGCUGAGAAGCGAAAGCAUGGGGAGCGAACAGG
rnacentral:rRNA from 1 species